CCUACGGGAGGCAGCAGUGGGGAAUAUUGCACAAUGGGGGAAACCCUGAUGCAGCGACGUCGCGUGAGUGAAGACGUAUUUCGGUAUGUAAAGCUCUAUCAGCAGGGAAGUAAAUGACGGUACCUGACUAAGAAGCCCCGGCUAACUACGGGCCAGCAGCCGCGGUAAUACGGAGGGGGCAAGCGUUAUCCGGAUUUACUGGGUGUAAAGGGAGCGUAGACGGCCAGACAAGUCAGUAGUGAAAGCCCAGGGCUCAACCCUGGGACUGCUUUUGAUACUGGCAGUCUGGAGUGCAGGAGAGGUAAGCGGAAUUCCUAGUGUAGCGGUGAAAUGCGUAGAUAUUAGGAGGAACACCAAUGGCGAAGGCAGCUUACUGAACUGUAACUGACAUUGAUGCUCGAAAGCGUGGGUAGCAAACAGGAUUAGAUACCCGGGUAGUC
rnacentral:rRNA from 1 species